rnacentral:rRNA from 1 species
CACCGCGGUUAAACGAGAGGCCCUAGUUGAUAGCACACGGCGUAAAGGGUGGUUAAGAAUAUAUAGUAAAUAAAGCCAAAGGACCCCCCGGCCGUCAUACGCUUCUAGGCGUCCGAAACCCUAACACGAAGGUAGCUUUAAAUCCACCUGACCCCACGAAAGCUGAGAAA